CUGGCAUUAGAUGAAGUGAAAUAAACUAGUAAAGUAGGGUGCAUUGGGGCACAAUGCAGCUUACUGGGUUAACUGGAAAAUAUAUUUAUUAAACAAUACACCCCCUAUACUUGUAUUUCAAUUCACAGCAUGAUUUGGUAUGCUUAUGUCUAUUUGACCCAAGUACCUGACAGGAAUGAUAUUUGAAUCACACCUGUAUUCAUUGAACAAAGCUAAUUUAAAUGUACAUUAAUUGUACAUGAACCAUGUAAAUGUAAAAACUAGCUAGAGCAAAAACACACCCACGCAGCUUUGUUUUUUUAUUUUUCUUGAGAAGGAAUAACUGAGUUACAAUGAGACCAGUAUCAACAAUUUCAAAAAGGUAUUGUACAAAAAUAUUACAAACAUAAGACACUUUAAAGACAGAAAAAACACAAAGUAUGUCACUACAGAAAC